UACAGAGGGUGCGAGCGUUAAUCGGAAUUACUGGGCGUAAAGGGCGCGUAGGCGGCCUGUUAAGUCGAACGUGAAGUCCCCGGGCUCAACCCGGGAACUGCGUCCGAUACUGGCAGGCUUGAAUUCGGGAGAGGGAUGUGGAAUUCCAGGUGUAGCGGUGAAAUGCGUAGAUAUCUGGAGGAACACCGGUGGCGAAGGCGGCAUCCUGGACCGAUAUUGACGCUGAUGCGCGAAAGCCAGGGGAGCAAACGGG
rnacentral:rRNA from 1 species